AUAUAUAGUACAUCCAUCAAUUUUCUCCGGCCAUUUCUGAUCUCACACAAAGGAUGAGAUGGUACUAAUUGACCCGGGUGGUCUGAAUCAAAUAAGUCCACAUAAAUAAAAGGCAAAAUCAUAAAGACAAGAUAAAUAUAGUAAUAUUCGUGUAUUAAUGCUUGGAAAUAUUACAAAGAGUGUGGGGUAAUAAAAUUGAGCUUGAUCAAUUGUUAUACCAUGGACCAGGAUCCACCUUAUUGAGUUAUUGUAGACCCUGGUC